AAGCUUAAAAUUCUCCCUAGCUGUGAUUGUGUUGUAGUCUCUGGCUGCUGACAUCACUUACUUUGAUAUUAAUAACUGUAUGAAUGUCAUAGAAUUUACAUGCAAAUUACAUGUUUCCUGUAGCCAGGUAUCGCAGUGUCGUGAUGACCUUCAUCUUAGGUGUUAUUUUGUUACUACACUGGAUGGGAAGAGUAAGCUCAUUGCUGGUGAGGUCAACCACAAACAUUAUCUCUGCGCCAUCAAGCCAGUAGCUUCUUACUGAAUCUCUGCCAUUCAACAUAC